rnacentral:tRNA from 1 species
GAGGGUAUAGCUCAGUCGCAGAGUGUGUGCUUAGCAUGCGUGAGGUCCUGAGUUCAAUUCCCAGUACCUCUG